UUUCCGUAGGCGAACCUGCGGAAGGAUCAUUACAGAGUUCAUGCCCUCACGGGUAGAUCUCCCACCCUUGAAUAUUUAUACCUUAGUUGCUUUGGCAGGCCGUGGAAACACCAUGGGCUCCGGCUUAUGCGUGCCUGCCGGAGGAAACAAACUCUGUUUUUAGUGAUGUCUGAGUACUAUAUAAUAGUUAAAACUUUCAACAACGGAUCUCUUGGUUCUGGCAUAGAUGAAGAACGCAGC
rnacentral:misc_RNA from 1 species